rnacentral:rRNA from 1 species
GACGAACGCUGGCGGCGCGCCUAACACAUGCAAGUCGAGCGCGGUCCCUUUGGUGCUUGCACCAAAGACGACUGAGCGGCGGACGGGUGAGUAACGCGUGGGUAACCUGCCCUGUACAGGGGGAUAACGAGUUGGAAACGGCUGCUAAUACCGCAUAAGCGCACAGUACCGCAUGGUACCGUGUGAAAAACUCCGGUGGUAUGAGAUGGACCCGCGUCUGAUUAGCUAGUUGGUGGGGUAACGGCCUGCCAAGGCAACGAUCAGUAGCCGACCUGAGAGGGUGACCGGCACAUUGGGACUGAGACACGGCCAA